UUUACGUAUUUUAAAAUUUUUUAAUUUGGUAUUCGGUCUCUCGUUCUGAAAGUGUUAUUCUAAAGGAUGCAACAACUUUCGCGCGCCUCCCUGCUUUCUCUUUCGAAAAGCUCAAGUGUCGUCAAGUAGUAGCACUGGUAAUGCGACAACUGCAACCAGAGUGUGAUACUCGUUUAUCAAAAUAGAAUAAAGCAGCAAAGAGUGGAGUCUAGAGUGUAGGAGGGCUUGACUCGAAGAGGGGAGGAAAACAACACCUAAAUAGACCGCAACAACACAGAAACCAUGAUUGCUUAUUCUAAUUUGAUUCAUUUCAUAGCUCAGUUCACUUUCUUCAUUUGCUUGUUAAGUGAAAAAGUUGAGAAGGAUCUUCGAAUUUAGAAGAACAUACUCCCUAUAGUUGGCUAGGUACUUUUUCUUGUAUUGAUAUUGUGGUUUUGUAGGAUGAUUUGUUGAACUAAUCUUAUAUAUUUUAAUUUCAA